rnacentral:rRNA from 1 species
CCUACGGGAGGCAGCAGUGAGGAAUAUUGGUCAAUGGACGAGAGUCUGAACCAGCCAAGUAGCGUGAAGGAUGACUGCCCUAUGGGUUGUAAACUUCUUUUAUAUGGGAAUAAAAUGUUCCACGUGUGGGAUUUUGUAUGUACCAUAUGAAUAAGGAUCGGCUAACUCCGUGCCAGCAGCCGCGGUAAUACGGAGGAUCCGAGCGUUAUCCGGAUUUAUUGGGUUUAAAGGGAGCGUAGGUGGAUUGUUAAGUCAGUUGUGAAAGUUUGCGGCUCAACCGUAAAAUUGCAGUUGAGACUGGCAGUCUUGAGUACAGUAGCGGUGGGCGGAAUGCGUGGUGUAGCGGUGAAAUGCUUAGAUAUCACGAAGAACUCCGAUUGCGAAGGCAGUUCACUGGACUGCAACUGACACUGAGGCUCGAAAGUGUGGGUAUCAAACAGGAUUAGAUACCCGGGUAGUC